rnacentral:lncRNA from 1 species
GCAGGAUCAUCAUUAGGACCAUCAUACUUGCCGACCAUCGAUGAACUGAUCGGAUUAACCAACCAAAGUUGGCUUCAGUCAUAAUGUAUUGAAUAGAAGCAAAAGCCUCAGUAACGGUCGGACGAUAGUAAAAAGUAAUAGCAAACCCAGUAGCUACUUGUUCUAAAAAAUAAGUAAGCGCAAUUCCCCCAAAACAAUAAAAUAUAUUGAUGUGGGGAGGAACGUAUUUACUAGUUAUAUCAUCCGCAAUUGCUUGAAUCUCGAGACGUUCUUCAAACCAAUCAUAUACUUUAUUGAGAUAGGCAAAACUCCCCCUCUCAGAACCGUAUAUGAGACUUUCAUCUCGUACAACUCAAGCAAAAACACCCAAAUACUAGUUGCAACGGAUAUGGAAUAGAAAAUUUUAAAUUUAUAGGCAUAACUCCCCCUAUGAGAACCGUAUAUGAGAAUUUCAUCUCGUACAACUUAAGCAAUAACACCCCACUACAGUUGCAACUGAUAUGGAAUAGAAAGUUUGAAAUUUAUUAAGUUCUCAUCCCAUCUUCUAUGGAAAAUCCGAAAGGUCUUCUUUGUGGCGAUAAUACCAACAUAUCAAGUUGGCGCAGUCGUCUUUAUCUUUAUUUUGAUACUUAUGGGCCUCUUGAAUUCUCUUUUUCCCUAUUUCUUCCUAGAAUUUGUUUUUGUUCAAGUUGGCGCAGUCGUCUUUAUCUUUAUUUUGAUACUUAUGGGCCUCUUGAAUUCUCUUAUUCCUAUUUCUUCCUAGAAUUUAUUUUUCUGGAAUAUGGCUUUUAUUAUUUGUUUUCUUUAUUAUUGAUAGGAAUUCUCUUGUUAUGACCUUAUGGAUCGAUUAAAACCUCAGAUUCAUACUAGAACCACGAUGAUUCAAUAAAAAAAACCUAACCUAAACCAAAUCAAGGAUUCCAUGAGUAAGAAUCCUCGGAUCAUCACUUAUUCCCUGAAUAAAUAGAAUGACUAAAAAUUCAAAGAAAGGUUUUGAUUUUGGUCAAAAUAUAAAUAGGGGUUGAAAGAAAAGAAUCUUUCAAUUUAGAAAUUAGAAUUCUUUGAAAAUGUUUUGGAGCCCGAACACAAGGUCUGAAUAUUAAGUAUGAAUCAAAGUUCAAAUAUUUCUUAAUCUAUUUCGUGUUCCAAAUAUUAGAAUAAAUAUUUGACGAAGUAGAACCAUCUCUAUCAAGAUGACAGACACAUUCUCUGUACUAUCAAUAGGAUCAAUUAUAAUAAGUCACACAGUCAUACUCCGGAAAUACAGAAACAAAGAAAUUCCACGAUCGAACUACCAGAUGAAAAUAGAAUGGACUAAAAAUCAGAGCUCUAAAUGAUUCAAUUUGGACUCAAAAGCAAAAACUUUGCGGUUCUUAUAGAUCUAAUUCAUUGAAAUUCCAUCCAAUAAAAUGAAAGAAUUAUAAAUCUCCAAAAUAAUAGAUAGAAAUACCGCAAAUAAGGCCAUUGCGACAUCCAUCAAAGGAGUAGUUCCCCACCCAGGAGCUACUUUACCAUAUUCCGAAUUCAAUC